UCGGGAAUUUUGGGCAAUGGGCGAAAGCCUGACCCAGCAACGCCGCGUGAAGGAUGAAGUAUUUCGGUAUGUAAACUUCGAAAGAAUAGGAAGAAUAAAUGACGGUACUAUUUAUAAGGUCCGGCUAACUACGUGCCAGCAGCCGCGGUAAUACGUAGGGACCAAGCGUUGUUCGGAUUUACUGGGCGUAAAGGGCGCGUAGGCGGCAAUUCAAGUCAUCUGUGAAAUCUCCGGGCUUAACUCGGAACGGUCAGAUGAUACUGCUUUGCUAGAGUGCAGAAGGGGCAAUCGGAAUUCUUGGUGUAGCGGUGAAAUGCGUAGAUAUCAAGAGGAACACCUGAGGUGAAGACGGGUUGCUGGGCUGACGCUGACGCUGAGGCGCGAAAGCCAGGGGAGCAAACGGGAUUAGAUACCCCGGUAGUCCCUGAGCGGGCUGGCAAGGCGCAU
rnacentral:rRNA from 1 species